rnacentral:rRNA from 1 species
CGCCUUAUACUCCUACGGGAGGCAGCAGUGGGGAAUAUUGGACAAUGGGCGAAAGCCUGAUCCAGCCAUGCCGCGUGUGUGAAGAAGGUCUUCGGAUUGUAAAGCACUUUAAGUUGGGAGGAAGGGCAUUAACCUAAUACGUUGGUGUCUUGACGUUACCGACAGAAUAAGCACCGGCUAACUCUGUGCCAGCAGCCGCGGUAAUACAGAGGGUGCAAGCGUUAAUCGGAAUUACUGGGCGUAAAGCGCGCGUAGGUGGUUUGUUAAGUUGAAUGUGAAAUCCCCGGGCUCAACCUGGGAACUGCAUCCAAAACUGGCAAGCUAGAGUAUGGUAGAGGGUAGUGGAAUUUCCUGUGUAGCGGUGAAAUGCGUAGAUAUAGGAAGGAACACCAGUGGCGAAGGCGACUACCUGGACUGAUACUGACACUGAGGUGCGAAAGCGUGGGGAGCAAACAGGAUUAGAUACCCCAGUAGUCCACGUACCA